UGGCGAACGGGUGAGUAACGCGUGAGUAACCUGCCCUAGAUGGGGGACAACAGUUGGAAACGACUGCUAAUACCGCAUAAGCCCACGGUACCGCAUGGUACUGAGGGAAAAGGAUUUAUUCGCUUUAGGAUGGACUCGCGUCCAAUUAGCUAGUUGGUGAGGUAACGGCCCACCAAGGCGACGAUUGGUAGCCGGACUGAGAGGUUGAACGGCCACAUUGGGACUGAGACACGGCCCAG
rnacentral:rRNA from 1 species